GAAUAUUGGGCAAUGGACGAGAGUCUGACCCAGCCAUGCCGCGUGCAGGAAGACGGCGUUCUGCGUUGUAAACUGCUUUUAUCUGGGAAGAAAAUGCCCCUGCGGGGGAAAUUGCCGGUCCCAGAUGAGUAAGCACCGGCUAACUCCGUGCCAGCAGCCGCGGUAAUACGGAGGGUGCAAGCGUUGUCCGGAUUUAUUGGGUUUAAAGGGUGCGUAGGCGGCUGUUUAAGUCAGUGGUGAAAGACUCCGGCUCAACCGGAGCAGUGCCAUUGAUACUGGACAGCUUGAGUAUUGGAGGGGUACAUGGAAUUGAUGGUGUAGCGGUGAAAUGCAUAGAUACCAUCAGGAACACCGAUAGCGAAGGCAUUGUACUGGCCAAUAACUGACGCUGAUGCACGAAAGCAUGGGUAGCGAACAGG
rnacentral:rRNA from 1 species